rnacentral:rRNA from 1 species
GACGAACGCUGGCGGCGUGCUUAACACAUGCAAGUCGAACGGAAAGGCCCUGCUUUUGUGGGGUGCUCGAGUGGCGAACGGGUGAGUAACACGUGAGUAACCUGCCCUUGACUUUGGGAUAACUUCAGGAAACUGGGGCUAAUACCGGAUAUGAGCUCCUGCUGCAUGGUGGGUGUUGGAAAGUUUCGGCGGUUGGGGAUGGACUCGCGGCUUAUCAGCGUGUUGGUGGGGUAGUGGCUUACCAAGGCUUUGACGGGUAGCCGGCCUGAGAGGGUGACCGGCCACAUUGGGACUGAGAUACGGCCCAGACUCCUACGGGAGGCAGCAGUGGGGAAUAUUGCACAAUGGGCGGAAGCCUGAUGCAGCAACGCCGCGUGCGGGAUGACGGCCUGCGGGUUGUAAACCGCUUUCGCCUGUGACGAAGCGUGAGUGACGGUAAUGGGUAAAGAAGCACCGGCUAACUACGUG